rnacentral:sRNA from 1 species
AUGUAUACAUGUAUUAACCACAUGCUUGCCUUGAAGUAGAUUUAUCCUUAGGGUUAAUUACAAUAGAAAAAAGGAAAAAAGACAUUAAAGGAUAGGAGUUUUAGACAUAAUAAUUAGAAAUGAGUAUUGAGGGGAAAAAGGAGCUUGCUUUAUUUGUAUGUCUCUAUAUAGAAGAAGAAAGUUUAAACUGCACACAUGUAUUUAGGAAAGUACGUGAAGACACCAUGAUUUUUCUUACAGCUACAGCUAUUCUGAGAGUCCUUUGUUUUGAAAGAAAGGCAAUGAUAAUUACUUUUGUUUAUAUUUUUGGACAUACAUUUAUGAUAUUGUAAAAAAUAAAAUUUUACUUUUUUAGAUUUUAAAGAAAUCGAUUUUCUUGUACCUUGUACCAAUUGUAUAUACAUGUUCUAUGUAUUAAAAUCUGUAGCUUAAUUCACAUAUCAAAUGCAGUGCCUAAUUUUUCUAUAUACCGUAUGUCAAUUCUGGUACUAGCACUUGUACCCACUGUUUCAUAUAAUAUUUACUUAUAAGUACAUUUAUUAUUGUGGACAAAGUAUACGAUUUACAUACCUUUUUAAUGUAUCCGCUACGUUGAAUCUUUCUAAUAAAAGGAGAAGGAUCU